UAUAGGUCUAUGUAAUUGGU
rnacentral:siRNA from 1 species